UACAGAGGGGGCAAGCGUUGUUCGGAAUUACUGGGCGUAAAGGGCGCGUAGGCGGCCUUCUAAGUCAGACGUGAAAUCCCUCAGCUUAACUGGGGAACUGCGUCUGAUACUGGAUGGCUUGAGUUUGGGAGAGGGAUGCGGAAUUCCAGGUGUAGCGGUGAAAUGCGUAGAUAUCUGGAGGAACACCGGUGGCGAAGGCGGCAUCCUGGACCAACACUGACACUGAGGAGCGAAAGCCAGGGGAGCAAACGGG
rnacentral:rRNA from 1 species